rnacentral:misc_RNA from 1 species
CGUGCAUCAAUACUUUGCUAUUUUCACCAGAUUAGAAUAAUCCUUAGAAGGCUUAGUAUUUUUUUUGUUUUUUGGAUUGUUAACUUAAAAAUGUGCUAAGUGGACUUUAUUAACCUAAUGAUAAUUCACUUUGAUGCAAUUUUUAUUUGUUGUAGUAACUAUCAAAAAACAAUAAAAAUAAUAACGCCAGUACAGUUGCUGCAUAAUCACAGUGAAAUAAGUCCGCACUUUUUUUUUUAACAUUUUAGCAUCAUGGAUAACAGUCAUGCUCUCUAAGAGGAAGG